rnacentral:lncRNA from 1 species
UUUAUUCGAGAGACAAACCUCAGAUGUUGAUGCUCUUCUGGAACAUCACUAGUUUCGAUCAACUGAAGAGGGAGCUGAUUCGUUGGUUAGAUGGAAAAACACCCAAGGGAAAAAUUAGAAGUAUUGAGAGGCUCGACAGUAUAUUUGGUUGGGUGCGGAUCAAAAAUGAUAAGGAUGCUAGGGAAAUGAUGUUUGGACGAGAUGACAUCCGUU